UACGUAGGUGGCAAGCGUUAUCCGGAUUUAUUGGGUGUAAAGGGCGUGUAGGCGGGAGCGCAAGUCAGAUGUGAAAACUCAGGGCUCAACCCUAAGCCUGCAUUUGAAACUGUGUUUCUUGAGUGCUGGAGAGGCAAUCGGAAUUCCGUGUGUAGCGGUGAAAUGCGUAGAUAUACGGAGGAACACCAGUGGCGAAGGCGGAUUGCUGGACAGUAACUGACGCUGAGGCGCGAAAGCGUGGGGAGCAAACAGG
rnacentral:rRNA from 1 species